rnacentral:rRNA from 1 species
CCAUCCUCCAAGGCUAAAUACUCGUAAUCGACCGAUAGUGAACCAGUACCGUGAGGGAAAGGCGAAAAGAACCCCGGGAGGGGAGUGAAAUAGAUCCUGAAACCGUGUGCAUACAAACAGUAGGAGCGGACUUGUUCCGUGACUGCGUACCUUUUGUAUAAUGGGUCAGCGACUUACAUUCAGUGGCAAGGUUAACCAGAUAGGGAAGCCGUAGAGAAAUCGAGUCCGAACAGGGCGAUAGUCGCUGGGUGUAGACCCGAAACCA